AGACAGGGAGGGAGGGACGGAGAGAAAGAGUGCCAGAAAGAGUGCCACCUAAAGAGAUAGCGAGGAGCACAGAAUAGGAUCAGAUGAAAAAAGAAAAAGAGGCUCUCGUCUUUCAGACCGUCUAUUUAUACUCUCGGUACACCCCGUCCUCCACAGAACGCUAGACUCGGUAAAGGCCAAGGAAGAGAUGCAGGCCAUAAAGAACCAUAACAAACAAUGUGUCCUAUAUGGACGGCGCAAACGGACAACUAGGAAGCAUCCACACUGACCGAUCACAUCUCCCACCAGCAUAGGAAACCGGUGCGUGUGACCAUCUUGAAAUAGGUCACUGCUGGGAUUUUUUUUUAAAAGGGGGAGGGGGGGGCAAGAAACCCAAAGGACUGUGGACUGUUACAUUCCAACCCCUUAAACACACACACACUUUCUCUGUGUGUGUGUGUGUGUGUAUGGUAUGCUCUCUGUGUGUAUGUUUUGUGUAUGAUCAAACAGGGCUUUUUAAAGAGCAAAUGAUUAUGCAACAUAUGGUCCUUGUUGAGCUGUAGCCUAUAUGUCUACUGAACCUGCCAUAUUUCAAGUCCAUUGGACCUGCCAUAGUUUCAUGGAUCCUACUGCAGAACUUACUGUUAUUUUCAUUUUAUUCUAUACAAUCAAAGCUGAUAUGACAGAAAGCACGCAGGUCAUUUACCACAAGCAAAAAAUGCAGACAAUCUGUGUUUGUUUCUGUUUAUUUGUGUUUAUUUUUUCUGUUUUGUUUGUUUAUGGUCAACAGGGGCUGAUAUUCAGACUCACUGAAUAGGAACGUGAUCUGGACUCGACCGGGAAGAAGAGACACUCCAAAUUGGGAUGCCAUGGAAGAGGAGACCAAAUUCAUCUGACAAAUACAAAGAUGGUUGUUUUCAUUCAAUGUGUGAUUUCUGGACAAUUUACAUUUGUUUGGACAAAUAACAGACAUAGGCCUUCUCAGUUACAAAUAUUUUUGAACACAGGCUGAAGUUGUUUCAAUUUUGUAGUUAUAUACCAUGAUACCACCUGACCUGAUCUUACUUGAUACAAAAUAUGAGGUGGGGAUGGAGGACUGAAUGCAUUAAUGUGUGUGUGUUUUGACUCAUCUAAAGUAGCCUACACUGUAUGUGAUGCAUGAAUGCAUGUUUAAGAAUGAGCUGAGAAUAAUAUGUUUUGGGGACAAUAAAAAAUAUAUAUCUUUGUGA